GAGGCCGUAGCUCAACGGUAGAGCAACUUGCCAAUCUUCUGAUGACGAGCAAAGGUGAUCACUUGCAGGUUCGAAUCCUGCCGGCCUCA
rnacentral:tRNA from 1 species